AUGAGGAAGCAGGUGUGCUGCACAAACCGCAGCAGCAUCUGCACGGGAGGAGAGAACACAGGCCUGUUUAACGAGCGAGCGAGCUGCCUGGACGCGCGGGACGUGGAAGCCAGGUAUCCCGAAUCCUGCGUUUAUGACUUCCUGUUUGCAGGCGAGUUGCCAAAGGGGCUUUCACCUCUGCUGUUUGACCACAGGACUAGAGUGAAAUUGGAAAGCCUAGAAGAUGCUUAUAUUUUAAGAGGAAAUGAUGACUCUCUUUCUGAUAAGCAUGGAUGCCCAGCCUAUGUGAGUCCAGAGAUCUUGAACACAAAUGGCAGCUACUCUGGCAAAGCAGCGGACGUAUGGAGUCUAGGUGUCAUGCUUUAUACCAUGCUUGUUGGACGCUAUCCUUUUCAUGACAUUGAGCCUAGUUCCCUCUUCAGCAAGAUCCGUCGUGGGCAAUUUAACAUUCCAGAAACUCUGUCCCCCAAGGCAAAAUGCCUCAUACGUAGCAUACUGCGUCGGGAGCCAUCAGAAAGGCUGACUUCACAGGAAAUUCUGGACCAUCCAUGGUUUUCUACAGAUUUUAAUGUAUCAAAUUCAGGAUAUGGUGCUAAGGAAGUAUCAGAUCAGCUGGUGCCUGAUGUCAACAUGGAAGAAGACUUGGACCCAUUCUUUAACUGAGCACAAAGACUGGUGUUCAGAAGGUACACAACCUGGAGAUGGACACAUGAAGGAGCCCUUCCUGACCGUGUUAAAUCACAUCCUGCAUCAGCCUAGCUUGGUAGCAAAAGACACUUGGAGAUCCUUGGAUUGAGAAGGAAUCUCCACAAGGAGCUAAUAUAACAAAUGUAGCAUGGGGACAGAUUGGGGGGGAGGGAGGGGAGCUUGCUAUCAGGUUAGAUUGAUUUGGAGGAAAAAAAAGGCAGCAUGGAGCAAUUGUAGCUUCUCACCUUUCUGGAGCCAAGGAGACUGCACAUGCCAAUUCUGGUGCAGCUAUGUCACUCCUGUUUCUGUUCCAUUAAAAAUAGUUGUAAUUCACAACAAAUAGAAACUUCUUUGCCUCAACUCACAUCUUGGCAUCGCACUGUUAGAUAUUUAACUUCAGCCAUUAUUCAGGGAAAGUACAAUUGGCUAACAUUUUUUUAAUCGGAGGUCUAAUAAUUAAUGGGUUUAAUUUAAGAAAAAAUUAGGUGCACAAAACGGACAUGAAAAGUGGGUGCUAAAAAUAAAGAAAAUUUCAGUUCAUGUCUCUUGAUAGCUAUUUUCAACUCAUUUCUUCUAAAUAAACUACUUAAUAUUCUUGUCAGGAAAUGACAUUUUAAUGCUUUGUUCCCUUAAGGGGAAGUAACUGUCAUUUAACAAGCUGUUCUGUUUUGUGUCAAAUGGUUUGUUGCAGGAAGCUAUUAUAACUCAAACUUCCAGAUGCAUUACUGCUAUAAUAGAAAAAAAGAAAAAAAAUUAUAUAAUUUUUUUUUAAGAUACAAGAUACUGGCUUCCAUAUCUGCCAUGCUGCACGUAUAUGACUAGAGAGGGCAGAAAGCCCUUAAUCAUGUCUUUAUCUGAGAACCGAUCUCUUCUUUAACUGACUUGCCCACAUGUAAAUAGAGGGCUCUUUAUUAUUGAAGAAGAGUAUUGUAUUUUUUUUUCUUUGAAUUCCUCUCAACUUGGGAAAAGAAUUGUUUGGAUUUGAUUUUUGUUUAUGUCCAGAAUAAGAAAUAAGAGGGUAUUAAUAAGCUGAACAUUUAUAUUACAGAUAUUCCUCUUGAAACAUACACAGUAAUAUGCACCUUUUGUAUUGUCAAGACUUAUUCUAUUUAUUGAAGAAAAUGUCACAGUAGUGAUGUAUUAAGCCAGUACUUCAAUUACGGGUUGACUUGGGAUGACAUGUUACAUGCUGUAGUUAACACACUUCUUUUCUGUUCAGGUAUUUCUGUCCCUAAAUAACUUUUUAUUUAGCUUUUUUUUUUUUUCUAGAUAGCUUUAUUUGAUUUAGACUGGCAAAUGUUUUUAUUACUGCUUUUAUAUUGCUGUAUGAUAUUGAAAUCUCUUGGCAUAAAUAUUUGUGUUUCCAGUACCUCAGUUGUUCUGAUAUUACUGCCUGUAUACGUUUUGUGAAGUGGUCAUGUUUUUUGGGUAGGUACACGUGGACUCUGUAGUAUGUAAAUGUUACUUGAAUUUGUGCUUAAUUAUAGUAUGUGGCAUGUGCGUACAGCUACUUGGCAUUUGACGUAUGGAUGCUAUUUGCCUGCUCUGCAGGAAAGUUAUGGUCCCACUCUCAAGAGGAUGUUUCACAGUUCUUUAUCAAGAGACAAAGCUAGCUGCAGCUGACCUGCCUUGGUUCUAUUUUGGUAACUAAGAAUAAAAAGGAGUAAUGUUUUUACACUCUGAAGAUGGUGCUGUGUCAAGAAGGACUUUUUUUUUUUUUUUUUUUUUUUUUAAAGAAAAAGUACCUUAUAGGAGGAAAGAUUGGUGAUGUGCAUGGUGGGGUUUUACUGCCUCUGGUGCUUUGUCAUGUAUUUGGUUUAAUGUUUUUGUCCUAAUCUCUUCAAUAAAUAAAAUUGUGCAUAUUUAACUAAA